rnacentral:rRNA from 1 species
AGUGAACGCUGGCGGUAGGCCUAACACAUGCAAGUCGAACGGCAGCACAGUAAGAGCUUGCUCUUACGGGUGGCGAGUGGCGGACGGGUGAGGAAUACAUCGGAAUCUACUUUUUCGUGGGGGAUAAGGUAGGAAAACUUACGCUAAUACCGCAUACGCCCUACGGGUGAAAGCAGGGGAUCUUCGGCCCUUGCGCGAUUGAUUGAGCCGAUGUCGGAUUAGCUAGUUGGCGGGGUAAAGGCCCACCAAGGCGACGAUCCGUAGCUGGUCUGAGAGGAUGAUCAGCCACACUGGAACUGAGACACGGUCCAGACUCCUACGGGAGGCAGCAGUGGGAAUAUUGGACAAUGGGCGCAAGCCUGAUCCAGCCAUACCGCGUGGGUGAAGAAGGCCUUCGGGUUGUAAAGCCCUUUUGUUGGGAAAGAAAAGCAGCAGGUUAAUACCCCGCUGUUCUGACGGUACCCAAAGAAUAAGCACCGGCUAACUUCGUG